rnacentral:rRNA from 1 species
AUGAAGGCUUUCGGGUCGUAAACUGCUUUUAUGAGUGAAGAAUAUGACGGUAACUCAUGAAUAAGGAUCUGCUAACUACGUGC